rnacentral:rRNA from 1 species
UACGAAGGGGGCGAGCGUUGUUCGGAUUUACUGGGCGUAAAGGGCGCGUAGGCGGCCCUCCUAGUCGCGUGUGAAAGCCCCGGGCUCAACCUGGGAAUUGCGCGCGAAACGGGGGGCUUGAGUUCGGGAGAGGAGCGUGGAAUUCCCAGUGUAGAGGUGAAAUUCGUAGAUAUUGGGAAGAACACCGGUGGCGAAGGCGGCGCUCUGGACCGAGACUGACGCUGAGGCGCGAACGUGGGAGCAAACAGGAUUGAGAUACCCGGAG